GUAAGUGAGAGGUUCGGGCAUGUGGCUCCCAGCUUGUGGCUGCGUCAGCUCGCUUCCCUUGGUCAAAAUAAAGGUGUCUGAGUUUCUCUGCCUCUGUUUGCUGUGAUGGGAGGAUGCUCACUGCUUCUUUUCUGCGUCAUCUUGGCCUCCCUGUUCCUCUGUGCCCGGAGCCCUUUUCUUUGGCUGCUCAUGGUGUCGGAUGCUCGUGGUUCGUGCUGUAGGAUACAGCCAAGCCCUCUUGGUGCAGGCUCUGGUGGAUGGCACCGAGUGCCAAAAACGAGCCCUGGGGAAACAUCUGAGGACAAAUUGCUAAUGAAGAGAGAGGAGUGCUUUUCUGGAGGGACCCGCCUGGGGAAAGGAAGGCCUUUGGGGAGCUAAAUAUUGUGUUUAAAACAUAAAGGCAGGAACAUGCUUCCCAGCGUGCAGACAAGUGGCAUGCAAGCUGCCUUGUUUUGUGGCACACCGGUAGGUGCAAAGGAAAUGCUGUGGCUGAUAGAAAGCAAAAGGGCUGGUGGAUGUGACAUGGAAAGCAGACGGGCUGUGAGGAGGUGUCUUGCUCUGACACACUGCACAUCUGAAUCCAGCUAGGUCUUCGUAUUGAUUUUUGUAAAAGCCCUUCCAAUUACUUUUGCAAUGAGCUCAUUCCUUCUGGCACAUCUCCUCUCCCUUGUUCAUUUAACACAGGCUUUGUCGCACCUCUCUUCAGCCCUCUGCGUGUGAGCUGGGAGCAAGCAGCUCUGUUGUUGUCCUCAGGGAAAACCAGGCACCUUUGGGGCAUCUCGUCUUGGCUGCUUUUCAGCGCUGCGUGACAGUGGGUUGAAUGGAGCCGGAGGUGUUUCUAAUAGAGCUGUCUGAAGUCAGCCAAAAUACAGCUGGCGUGCUCUGCACCGGCACAGCAAGGCUCGCUCAGAAGCUGCCUUUCCUUUUGUUUCGGUGUUUGGGUUCCAGGCAUGUUGUGAAGUGAUGCUGGAGGCUUUGCCUUGGCUGUUGGCUGGGCAGCCUGGUGGUCCAGGAGCGCAGAUUUGCUCCGGGCUGCAAAGUGCCUGCUUGCUGAAGCUUCUGGAAACAAAGAGCUGAGGAGCUCACAGACCUGUCCAGGCAAAACACCUCCUCUGUUUGCUCUAAUAAUACUGUUUUUCUCAAUUCUACACCCCCAAAACAAUGUGUCUGGGCCUGUUUUAAUCCACUGGAUCACUCGGAGGCUACAGCUGAGGUCUGGUAUCCGGAUGUUUCCCAAACCUGAUCCUGCCCAUGUCCCAUCCUGCGGGCUGCUGGAAGAGGAAUUUGCAGGCUCAGUGAAACUGCUCAGGUCUCCCCGCUGAGGCUGACUAUGUGUUCACCCUCCAGACUGCUUGGGAACGAAGGCAAAGAGAAGAACAUUGUCCCGCAAAGCCACGUGCCUCGCUUGCAGUCUGGGAGCUGAGGCACAGCUUCUGACUUUGCUCUGCAGCCCCUGUGUCCCAACCACAACCCAGGACACUGAUCAACCUGAAGCUGCUGGUUUUCUUGUGAUGGGCUCCUGUAUGCGUUCCAAAUACUGUUGAGGCUGCUCUGUGGGUAUUUUUAGUGUGCAUCAGGUGCCAACGAGGAAAACAAAAGCCUCUUCUUCAUGAGCCCACGUCUGCAGUUAUUUCCAGUGCCUGUGUCCUCGUGUGCAUCCUGCAGCCCUUGGGGCUCCGACAGCAGGCACUGAGAAAAACCAAGCUUGGGAAAAAUCUAAAUACUUCCCAAGGAAGAACUUCAGGAAAUGCCCAUCAAACAGCUGAGCAGGGGAUUCCUGAGCAGGUUUCCUGUGCUUCUUUGAAAUGCUGAUAAAAAGCUUCGUGAGAUACCUGCACAGAGGAAUUUCCCAAACAGGGCACUGAAAGCUUCACACCACAAUGUAUGCGUGAUACUGGAGCUCCCACACGUGCUGGGUGUUUGGAUAGCGUUCUUAGACCUGCUGAAACCUGCGUAAUGUAGUAAUUAUGGGCUGCUAGCUGUUGAAAGGACUCGUGAAGCUACUCCAAGGGGCAGCUGUCACCUGGGUCCUUCGGAUCCCAGCUCAUGUUUGCCUCUGCACGUCCUCAGCAUGCAAACAGGGCUGAGGGAAAGCACCCUGCCUCCUCCUGUCCCUGGGUGCAGGAAUGGCAAUGGCCGGCAGCACUGACAUCUGCCUCCUGGUGUGACCCCAAGGAUGUGACUUUGGGACAGAACCAACAUGCAGCCAGGCACCCCUGAAAUGAAGCAGGGUUAUGGGAUCCAGCUCUGGCAUUAGUGUGCAGUCCUGAACAUCUGCACCAACAUUUGUGUGCCCAGCCAUCAUUGCAGCACCUGUACCCAUCUGAGCUGGCGCUGGCUGCAGCAUGAAGCCAGCAAUUUACAAAGUCCUGCUUUUGGGUCCUUCCUUCCCCACAUCUCUGCUGGGAACUGCCGGUGCCCCCAUCCCACCACGGGAGCCCUGGGCUGGGAACACAGCAGUGCCUGCUGCUGGGGAGGUAACACUGCGAACCAGCCUGCGCAUCUUGCAGCCUCUACAAUAUUGCCAAACCUUGUAACACAGAACCAGAUCCCUUUCCAAACCAGCCCCUUGCAGCCCUUCCUUCCUCUCCAAACUGCACCAAUCUCCAGCCAGAGCGAGCCUUGGGUCUGCCCUGCUUCACCCACCUCGUCGCUUCUGUCCCUGCCUCGCAUCUCCCCGCAGCGGUGUUCCGACGCCUCGCCUCUCUCCCGCUGGCUGAGAGCAGCGUGGAUUUCCUUCCAGCGUGACGGUUGGGGUCACUCUUUCACAACGAGCGCUUUCCUCCCGGUACGAUCAGCUCAGCGUCGCGUCCCGCUGACGCCCAACCAGGAUUUCAAGCUUUUGGGACUGCCUUCCCUGGAAAAAAUUAGCGACAUGUUUGAUUUUAAAUAGCGGAAGCGUGCGGGAAUAAGCUUUUCUGUGUGGGUUCGGAAGUUUGCUAAAACACUCAAUGAGCUGC
rnacentral:lncRNA from 1 species